rnacentral:tRNA from 1 species
AGAGAGGUGGCUCAAUGGUUCAGAGCACUUGGUGCUCUUGCAGAGGACCUGGGUUCAGUUCCCAGCAUCUAUA